rnacentral:rRNA from 1 species
CCAAGGAGUACCCGCUGAAUUUAAGCAUAUAAGUAAGCGGAGGACAAGAAACUAAACAGGAUUCCCUUAGUAAUGGCGAAUGAACAGGGAUGAGCUCAGCAUGGAAAUCGGGGUCUCCCGACCUUGAAUUGUAGUCUGUAGAUGUACUGCCAACGGAGGCGCAGAUGUAAGCCUCUUGGAAAAGAGCAUCAACGAGGGUGAGAGUCCCGUUUGUCAUCUGCAGUCCCCCGUGCACGGUGUGCCUUCUAAGAGUCACGUUCCUCGGGAUUGGAGCGCAAAGUGGGUGGUAAAUUUCAUCUAAAGCUAAAUAUUGGUUCGAGACCGAUAGCAAACAAGUACCAUGAGGGAAAGGUGAAAAGGACUUUGAAAAGAGAGUUAAAAGUGCCUGAAAUUGCUGAAAGGGAAGCGAAUGGAACCAGUGUUCUUGAUGAGAUUGUUGCGUACUCUGGUGAUUGCUGGGUGUUCCACCGCAAGGGGGGCAUCUAGUUUUGAGCUAGAUGUGCGUGGUGUUUCUUGUCUUGUGUGUCACCGUCGGUGCACGAGCGAGUAAACCUCCAGGGGGCUGGUAACUCGACCACGGUUGAGUGAAUACCUUUGGCAGUACUCAUUUGUGUAUCGAUCCCUGCGUGUCUGGUUGCAGUGUUUGGGUCGCCUGGAAACUCCUGAAGGGCUUGUCCUCGAAGGAGUCCUUUUGGGCGCCCUGAGCAUCUCCCUGACACAAAGACGAUGACUAAAUGGUUCUAUUCGACC